GGGGGGAGGGGAAGGGGCUUCCCUCAGAGCGUCCCUGACGGCCCGGGUCGUGGGGACCCUGCUCCCGGGGGCUUCGUGGCACCGGGACCGCCACUAGCGGGGGCUGGGGGGGGCACUGAGGUGACUCUGGUGGGAGAGGGCACCUGUCCCUCGCCGCCCUGCUGGCCUGCAGCGCCCUUCCGCGGCCCCUUCCCCCCCCCCCCCCCCCCCCCGUGGCUGAGGUGAUGCUGGCAGCCCUCAGGGAGGCCUCUCCGGCUGCCCGCCCCGUGGGGCCUCUCUCGGGCUGCCCUGCUGGAGCCCUGCGCUGCUGGCAGAGCCAGUCCCGCUGCCCGCGGCCUCGAGAGGCGACGCGAAGGAGCGUGGAUGGGGCUUCCUCCAUGUUUGUUUCCUUCCUCAGGGGGAGACCUGCAGCCCGAGGCGCGGAGCGGAGCGUCAGCUUCCAGCUGGUGGUGCAGGAGCUGGAGGUUUGAUGGAAGUAGUGGCUUAAGGACCCCGAGCCCGCGUCGAAACAAUUAAAAAAGGAAAGAGGCUUGAAUCGAUGGUAUUGCGGGCCUCUCUCCGUUUCCUAUGGCCAACGCGCCCAGCGCGGGGCGCCCAGCUGCAGACCCCCGGGUACUGGCCUUAGCUGCUCAGGUCACUGAGAGCAGAGAACAGGACAUCCCCCUGCUACUUCUGAAGUUAAAGGGAAUUUUAAAUAGUGCUUCCUUGGGAUGUGAAGAAUCCAAAAAAAUUAAGCAAGAUAUAUAUGAUUAUGAUCUUACACAGUACUGCAUGCUGGUCCUUAGACAAGACCACUCUCGACUGCGUGGGGGCUGGGCUACUGCUGCCCAGCUAGCAGAGACACUAAGUCAUUGUUGUGUAGGACUAGAGGUGAAAGGAGAUCCUGAGGAAUUCUACAAGAAAUUUCUUCCUUCAGCUAUAGACAACCUGCUGGUUUUGGGAAGACGCUUGCAAGCACGAUUUAUCCGAGCACUCAAGGAUGAAGAAAAACAAGAUUUUUUAUGCUGGUUCCAAACAGUAACUGAUGCCAUCUGCUGGCUGUUCGGUGGGCAUAUUCAACUAGCAGCAUGCGUACUGCAAAAUGAUCACUUCCUGCAUUUGUUAAUAACAGAUGAUGUUGAAACAGCAAUUACAAUGAUGUCUGUUUUACACAAUAUUUUGAGGGUCAAUAGUUCUGUCUUGCUUCAGGUUGAUGAAGAGACCCUUCACUCUGUUUUGGAUGAACUUGUUUAUAAGCUUUCAUCUACCACCAAUCCUGUCAUAGGGAAUGCUGCUACAAAACUGCUAUUAUUGAUGGCAAAAUUUUGCAAGCAGCUUGUGAAGUUACUCACAGCUCGCUACAAAGGUCUCUUGUAUUCUGGAUGUUAUCGAUGGUCAAAACUACUUAUAAGCAGCCUCAGUCCUUUGGGGACAAGGACAGUAAGAAGAUUAAAAGGGCUUUUAAGUAAACAAUGGACUGGCAAAGGAUUUGACAGGGAUCUCAGUCAACUCUUGGACCUUCUGUACUUGGAACAAUCCAGUGGAAAAGAAGAAAUGCAGAGGCAGCAUCAAGCAGCUUGUAUAAUCCAGGCUAUGUGGAGGGGAUUUCAGACAAGGAAAAGGCUGAAAAAACUACCCCAAGCAGUGACCACUUUACAGAGAAGCUUCAGAGCUAAACGGCAACAGGAGCUGCAGCAUUUAAAAAAACAGAAGGAAGAUGAGGCUCUAAAACUGCAAAUGCAACUUCAGAGACAGAGGGCCAUGAGACUCUUCCAUGAGCGACAGCUGGCCUUACUGGAAAUAAUCCAUGCCAGUCAGGUAAAUAAGUACAUGGAGGAAAUGGAAGGGAAAUCAGCAUUAACUAUCCAGAGAUUCUGGCGAGGGUAUAGAGCAAGAAGAAAUUUUCAUCAACAGAAACAAUCUCUUAAGGAGUAUAAAGCAGCUGUUGUCAUUCAGAGAGCAGCUUGUAAAUUCUUGGAAAAACGAAGAAGGAGGAGACUUCUCUCUCGUUGGAAAGAUCCCAAGGGACUGACUGAUGAGCAGAGACUAGCUUUGCAGCAGAAGGUGGAUGACUACAUCAAAUUGCAUCCGGCUUCCCAAAUGUCAGAAGAAAUGAGUAAAGAAUUACAUAUGCAAGCCCAGGAAAAGCUGGCACAGUUCCUGCUGAGGAGCAGACUGGAUCAGAGAGCAGCGCAGCGAAGAGAGGCCUUACUGGCUCAGGUCAACACCGAUGUGGAGCUGCUAAUGAGUGCUCCAGGGUUAGCAAAGACCACAGAAAAAGAUCUUGAUAUCUUUAUGAGUCGAUCAAUCCCUGUAGCUACCAAGGCAAGACAAUCCCACAACACUAUGCUGAAAUACACUCGCUGGCCAUGGUGGAAGAAGCUUGGAGAUGAGUUUAUGGAGGAUGAUGUCAUUCCUGAUGAUGCCCUAAAUGCAGAACUGGGAACUCUAUUUAUUGGUGGAAGGAAAUCCUUUUAGGUCCUCCUGCGCCACACGCAGGACAUGUUGCUGGCAAUUUAUUUCACUGCAGCUCCUUCUGGGAUAAAAUAUUCCUGCCUGAACAAUGGGAACAGAUGUAGACAGCUGAAUGGAAGCUGCCUCCAGCCUGCUACCAGUAAAGCUAUACAGGAGCAUUAUUGAUACAGCUUUGGCAGCAGCAAACAACCUGGAAAAGAAAAUCCUUUGAUGGAUAUGGAUAAAAAGGAAGGGACCGUGACUGUUCUUCUGCUGAAGGUGCCACCAGAGUCAUGGAGCAGGAAGAAGGCAGCAAAAGGAACAACAAAAAAGGAAUGCUCAGCCCUUUCAGAGCCAGAGACAAAGCAGUGUCCUCUGCUGGCUCCUGCAAUUGAGGAAAAUUCCUGUUUAUGCAGACAGAUAGACUUUUUUUUCAGCUUUAGCUGUAACUGGACUCUGCAAACAACAGGAUGCUGAUCUCCAGCAGAGACACUGGCGUGCGCUUGAGACUACGCUACUAAGUCCAAGGGCGUCUCCUGGCCUUUCAGACAGGCUGUAACAGGAGCUUUGAGCUGAGGACAGUGGAUAACCCUGAUGCUAUUUCACCUCUCGCCUCCAAGUCUUCUACUGCUGAUUUUCAUGGGAGCAGAAUCUGGUACAAACAUCUGCUCUCCACUGCAGAGUAUCACAUACAUCAAGUACAAGGAGAAAUGAAAGCUUUCUCCAAGUAGCGGGAUCGGGGCUAUUUAUAAAUUGGCAUGCAUCAGAAAAGGAGGCAGCUCUUUGCAGUGGGAGCUGCAAAGAUCAUCGCAAUAGGUCUCCAAGUUCUCCUUACCAUCCUUCUUGAUAGCACAGUAAUACCCAGUCAUCCUCCUGACGUCUUUGCGUACAGUGAAAAACUCUGUGAUAAAGAGAUUGUUUACUAAAUGAGUGAUGUAUGGGCCCAGAUUUACCAAGGGGAACUAAAGGACAGGUGCCUGCCAUCCCCUGAAGGCAGGGCUGGGCUCACUCCGGCUGCCUUAGGACAGGAAGGCAAAGUCUGGCAGGUGAGGACCAAGGUCAGGACACCGCAGCUCUGGCAAAUUUUCCCAGCUGUGCCAGAGAACUCCUCUGUGACCUUGAGCACAUUCUGUCUCUGCCUCUGUCUUUUCCUCUCUCAGAUGAGGCUUACUGAGGAGGUUUCGUAUGUUGCAUUUGUAAUUUAAGAGCCUUCAGUGGAGGAUGCUGUGUAAGCCCAGUGCCACUGAAAUUGCUUUCUACUAAAGUGGAAUGGGAGUUUGACAGGCCCCAGGAAGAAAAAACAUUUGUAUAAUCAGAUGUUGAACAUGCAGAAAGAGCUCAGGGUUGCCAUGCUAUUUAUUUCUCUCCAAAUUCACCUUUUCUUUGCAGAAUUUAGUUCUUCUCUAUUUAAUUACGUCCUCAAACAGGAACAAUGUCUUUACCUAUGCUUGAUCACUUAAUAAAACCUAUGAAAGCGA